rnacentral:rRNA from 1 species
ACGAACGCUGGCGGCGUGCUUAACACAUGCCAGUCGAACGAGAGCGUAGAGAAAGCUUGCUUUUUCUACAAUCUAGUGGCAAACGGGUGAGUAACGCGUAAACAACCUGCCCUACGGAUGGGGACAACAGCUGGAAACGGCUGCUAAUACCGAAUACGUUCCGAAAGUCGCAUGACUAUCGGAAGAAAGGAUGGCCUCUAUUUAUAAGCUAUCGCCGGAGGAGGGGUUUGCGUCUGAUUAGCUAGUUGGAGGGGUAACGGCCCACCAAGGCGACGAUCAGUAGCCGGUCUGAGAGGAUGAACGGCCACAUUGGAACUGAGACACGGUCCAGACUCCUACGGGAGGCAGCAGUGGGGAAUCUUCCGCAAUGGGCGAAAGCCUGACGGAGCAACGCCGCGUGAGUGAAGACGGCCUUCGGGUUGUAAAGCUCUGUUAUACGGGACGAAUAAUCUUGUGGUUAAUACCCAUGAGAAGUGACGGUACCGUAAGAGAAAGCCACGGCUAACUACGUG